rnacentral:pre_miRNA from 1 species
AGAAGGAUAGCUGGGUCAAAUGAUGGGUUCAUUCUCAGUUUUCCAAGGAAUCACCAUAUUGCUUACCAUAUUGGCCACACCAUUUUGCAGUCCCACCAGCAAU